rfam:Clostridium sp. CAG:299 genomic scaffold, scf346
UUCGAUUCUAUAUGGUGCGGUGUCUGCGUUUUCAUUCCGCAGAAGAAUAGAGAAGCGAGGUGAAAUUCCUCCACGGUCACGCCGCUGUAAAAGAAGAGUUUCCUCUUUUUAUGCCACUGAGUCUGAUACUGGGGAAGGCGAGAGGAAAUGUGGACGCUUGAGUCAGAAGAACUGCCCGCCAGAAUAGAAGAUC